UGUUGUUCUUUAAGUUACGGCCUCUCUCCAAAGGGGGGGAAAGAUUACUCUUACCGUGGUAUCUGCCCUUGGUGGAAGAUAAAAAAAGGAAACUGGGGAUAUUUCUCCAUAAGUCAGGAGUACUGGAAUGUCUCCUAACUGAAAGUUGCGGCGCCAUAGGAUGAAUCUGCGGUCCAUCCCCGCUUUUUGUUGGGGUAACGGCCCAACAAGCCUGUAAUCGGUACGGGUUGUGGGAGCAAGAGCCCGGAGAAGAAAAAACCAAACACGAUUCCAGGCCCUACGGGGCGCUUCUCCCCUCUUUUUACUUUACGGGGGAGGCCCCCCCCCACCAAGGGAACCCCGAGUGCCCGUAAACGCGGGCUGUCCCGGUGUUUAAAACACAUUCUUAAGAAAGGGCCGGGCAAGACCGGUGCCAGCCGCCGCGGUAAUACCGGCGGCUCGAGUGGUGACCACUUUUAUUGGGCUUAAAGCGUUCGUAGCUUUGAUUUUUAAGUCUCUUGGGAAAUUCUUCACGGGUUAACUGGUGAGGCGGUCUAAGAAGAUCUGGGGAAUUUUAGGGACCGGGGAGAGGUUAAGAAGUUCUUUCAGGGGUAGAAGUGGAAUUUCUGUAUCCCUGGAGGGACCCCCGAUGGCGAAGGCUCCUUACAGAACGGGUUCCCACAGUUAUAGAAUUAAAUCUUGGGGAUACUACGGGAUUA
rnacentral:rRNA from 1 species